CGGUUUCGAAAUGGUUUCACAAUCAAUCAACACUAACAAACAAAUCCAAAACAAUCACACUUACCAAUUACGACACAAUCACAACAACAACUAAGUAUACAUAGGCAAUCAUCACAUUAUAUCAAACAUGACUCGCAUGCCAAACACCCUAAUGCAAUGCGUAUAUGCCCAAAAUGCAUGAAUUCUGGAAUUCCAACUA
rnacentral:lncRNA from 1 species